UUAGCCAGACGGUUACUGCGUUGCUGUUAUGGCAACGGAGAGGAAAGUCCGAGCCUUUAAAGGAUGUAAUGCCGGAGAAAUCCCGGUGGAGGCGACUCUAAGGAAAGUGCAACAGAAAAUAACUACCUAUUCUAUAUGAAUAGGAAAAGGUGAAAAGGUGAGGUAAAGGCUCACCGCAGAGUUGGUAACAACUUUGGUCAAUGCAAACCCCAUUUAAGGCAAGAUUAAGUUACCACAUUUAGUGUAUCCUUUCGCGUGGUACAAAAAUAUCGCUAAGCCGAAGUUUUAAUAUAUGUUUUUUAAAGAAUAUAUAUUAAAAUUUCGCGUGAUUGUAAUAGAGAUAUUACAACUAGAAAGAUGACCGUUUAAUACAGAACUCGGCUUAUAGACUAACUCC
rnacentral:RNase_P_RNA from 1 species